GAUGAACGCUGGCGGCGUGCCUAAUACAUGCAAGUCGAGCGAACAGACGAGGAGCUUGCUCCUCUGACGUUAGCGGCGGACGGGUGAGUAACACGUGGAUAACCUACCUAUAAGACUGGGAUAACUUCGGGAAACCGGAGCUAAUACCGGAUAAUAUAUUGAACCGCAUGGUUCAAUAGUGAAAGACGGUUUUGCUGUCACUUAUAGAUGGAUCCGCGCCGCAUUAGCUAGUUGGUAAGGUAACGGCUUACCAAGGCAACGAUGCGUAACCGACCUGAGAGGGUGAUCCGCCACACUGGAACUGAGACACGGUCCAGACUCCUACGGGAGGCAGCAGUAGGGAAUCUUCCGCAAUGGGCGAAAGCCUGACGGAGCAACGCCGCGUGAGUGAUGAAGGUCUUCGGAUCGUAAAACUCUGUUAUUAGGGAAGAACAAAUGUGUAAGUAACUAUGCACGUCUUGACGGUACCUAAUCAGAAAGCCACGGCUAGCUACGUG
rnacentral:rRNA from 1 species